rnacentral:rRNA from 1 species
GACAGAGGGGGCAAGCGUUGCUCGGAAUUACUGGGCGUAAAGGGCGCGUAGGCGGGAUGGCAAGUCGGUCGUGAAAUCCCUCGGCUCAACCGAGGAACGUCGAUCGAUACUGCUGUUCUUGAGGAUUGCAGAGGAGACUGGAAUUCCGGGUGUAGCGGUGGAAUGCGUAGAGAUCCGGAAGAACACCAGUGGCGAAGGCGGCUCACUGGCCCGGAACUGACGCUGAGACGCGAAAGCGUGGAGAGCAAACAGG